AUUGAACGCUGGCGGCAGGCCUAACACAUGCAAGUCGAACGGGUGGCGGACGGGUGAGUAAUGUCUGGGCAACUGCCUGAUGGAGGGGGAUCACUACUGGAAACGGUAGCUAAUACCGCCUACCAUCAGCUGUGCCCAGAUGGGAUUAGCUUGUUGGUGGGGUAAAGGCUCACCAAGGCGACGAUCCGUACCGGGUCUGAGAGGAUGACCAGCCACACUGGAACUGAGACACGGUCCAGACUCCUACGGGAGGCAGCAGUGGGGAAUAUUGCACAAUGGGCGAAAGCCUGAUGCAGCCAUGCCGCGUGUAUGAAGAAGGCCUUCGGGUUGUAAAGUACUUUCAGCGGGGAGGCGUUACCCGCAGAAGAAGCACCGGCUAACUCCGUGCCAGCAGCCGCGGUAAUAC
rnacentral:rRNA from 1 species